rnacentral:rRNA from 1 species
GGGCUUGCGUCUGAUUAGCUUGUUGGUGGGAUAAUAGCCUACCAAGGCAAUGAUCAGUAGCUGGUCUGAGAGGACAACCAGCCAGACGGGGACUGAGACACGGCCCUGACUCCUACGGGAGGCAGCAGCAAGGAAUUUUGCGCAAUGGGCGAAAGCCUGACGCAGCGACGCCGCGUGAGGGAUGAAGGCCCUCGGGUCGUAAACCUCUUUUCUCGAGGAAGUGACGGUACUCGAGGAAUAAGCCUUGGCUAACUACGUGCCAGCAGCCGCGGUAAUACGUAGAAGGCAAACGUUAUUCGAAUUUACUGGGCGUAAAGCGGGUGUAGACGGCCCUUUAAGUCGGGUGUGAAAUCUCCCGACUCAAUCGGGAGAGGUCAUUCGAUACUAAGGAGCUUGAGGACAGCAGAGGAGGGCGGAAUUCCCGGUGUAGCGGUGAUAUGCGUAGAU